GAACGCUGGCGGCGUGCUUAACACAUGCAAGUCGAAACGAUGAACCUCACUUGUGGGGGGAUUAGUGGCGAACGGGUGAGUAACACGUGAGUAACCUGCCCUUGACUCUGGGAUAAGCCUGGGAAACCGGGUCUAAUACUGGAUACGACCUUUCUGGCGCAUGCCAUGUUGGUGGAAAGCUUUUGUGGUUUUGGAUGGACUCGCGGCCUAUCAGCUUGUUGGUGGGGUAAUGGCCUACCAAGGCGACGACGGGUAGCCGGCCUGAGAGGGUGACCGGCCACACUGGGACUGAGACACGGCCCAGACUCCUACGGGAGGCAGCAGUGGGGAAUAUUGCACAAUGGGCGCAAGCCUGAUGCAGCGACGCCGCGUGAGGGAUGAAGGCCUUCGGGUUGUAAACCUCUUUCAGUAGGGAAGAAGCCGGCUUUUGGGUUGGUGACGGUACCUGCAGAAGAAGCGCCGGCUAACUACGUGCCAGCAGCCGCGGUAAUACGUAGGGCGCAAGCGUUAUCCGGAAUUAUUGGGCGUAAAGAGCUCGUAGGCGGUUUGUCGCGUCUGCCGUGAAAGUCCGGGGCUUAACCCCGGAUCUGCGGUGGGUACGGGCAGACUAGAGUGCAGUAGGGGAGACUGGAAUUCCUGGUGUAGCGGUGAAAUGCGCAGAUAUCAGGAGGAACACCGAUGGCGAAGGCAGGUCUCUGGGCUGUAACUGACGCUGAGGAGCGAAAGCAUGGGGAGCGAACAGGAUUAGAUACCCUGGUAGUCCAUGCCGUAAACGUUGGGCACUAGGUGUGGGGGACAUUCCACGUUUUCCGCGCCGUAGCUAACGCAUUAAGUGCCCCGCCUGGGGAGUACGGCCGCAAGGCUAAAACUCAAAGGAAUUGACGGGGGCCCGCACAAGCGGCGGAGCAUGCGGAUUAAUUCGAUGCAACGCGAAGAACCUUACCAAGGCUUGACAUGAACCGGAAUGAUGCAGAGAUGUGUCAGCCACU
rnacentral:rRNA from 1 species